UUGGACCGCUGGAUCACGUGCAUAGCUGUGCUGUAAAGUUUAAAUGUACAGUUGCAUUGUGGGAUAUUUACCGGCUGGAGGCGAAUGUUCGCGGGCUAGAGAGCGGGACCAAGGAGGAUUUUCACCGGGUAAUCUUAUGUUGUGAUGUGCUACAGAGGUGUGCUACAGCUGCAGGUCUUAAAGGGACACACAACCUGCCGCCAAGUCCACAACUCAUUGCCCUCAGAGACAACAUUACCCUUCAUCAUGGAUGAUCAGCAUCGAGGGUGAAAUUGUUUGAGGGCGUUCAACCUACGUUCCAGGCUGGUCUCGCAGCACUUUUUGCCACCUUCUACGUUUUUAACCUUGAGUAUCCAGAGGAGGCAGCAUGCACACUGGAGGUUUUUCAAAGGUGAUUCACAGGCCUCAACCCUGAAAGGGGAACAAAGGCUGCAAAAGGAAAAGUAACAUCAAAAAUGACAGGACGACUCGUGCAAAAGAAAAAGACAGCAGUGAACAAACAUGUCUCCACUGUCCUCUGCAAGUUCAUGGACUACCAGAGGAACUUCUAAAAUGCCACCCUUUGAUGAGGCGUUCAGGACUAAGCCCCACUCAGCACUCAUUCAUGUUGGUUUGGUUUGGCUGUUCACGAAGUUUUAAACUAGCUCAAAUGUUAAAGAUGUUACUGUUAGAGUUCCUAUAAAGUGUUCAAAAAUAUGUAACUUCAAUAUUUGACAGUGCUGGAUUCCUUCCUUCAAAAGGAAGGGAUCCAGUUGUUUGACAGUUUGUUUGUUUUUUAGAGAUUUUGACCCUUUGGAACUUUUAUUUUAAAGGUUAUUUAACUUGUAUGUGAUGUAAUAUUACCAUGGGGGGUUAUGCAUUUAAAAAUGUAGCAGUUCAUAAUGUUUUUUGGUCAGUUCAUGUCAGUGUAUUUUUACACUUUGGUUUCUAUACUUUUUGACUUGUAUGUAA